rnacentral:rRNA from 1 species
CACGUAGGCGGAUCAGAAAGUUAGAGGUGAAAUCCCAGGGCUCAACCCUGGAACUGCCUCCUAAACUACUAGUCUAGAGUUCGAGAGAGGUGAGUGGAAUUCCAAGUGUAGAGGUGAAAUUCGUAGAUAUUUGGAGGAACACCAGUGGCGAAGGCGGCUCACUGGCUCGAUACUGACGCUGAGGUACGAAAGUGUGGGGAGCAAACAGGAUUAGAUACCCUGGUAGUCC